rnacentral:rRNA from 1 species
CUGUUGGUCUUUGGCCAUCCGAGUUGUAAUUUAGAGAAGCGUUUUCCGCGCUGGACCGUGCACAAGUCUCCUGGAAUGGAGCGUCAUAGAGGGUGAGAAUCCCGUCUUUGGCACGGACACACCAGGGCUUUUGUGAUGCGCUCUCGAAGAGUCGAGUUGUUUGGGAAUGCAGCUCAAAAUGGGUGGUGAACUCCAUCUAAAGCUAAAUAUUGGCGAGAGACCGAUAGCGAACAAGUACCGUGAGGGAAAGAUGAAAAGCACUUUGGAAAGAGAGUGAAACAGUACGUGAAAUUGUUGAAAGGGAAACGCUUGAAGUCAGUCGCGUCGACCGAGACUCAGCCUUGCCUUGGCUUGGUGUACUUCUCGGCUGACGGGUCAGCAUCAAUUUUGCCCCUUGGAUAAUGGCGAGGGAAAUGUGACACCUUUAUGGUGUGUUAUAGUCCCUUGUCGCAUGCAAGGGUUGGGAUUGAGGAACUCAGCACGCACCUUUGGGUGUCGGGGCUUUGCCCACGAUACGUGCUUAGGAUGUUGGCGUAAUGGCUUUAAACGACCCGUCUUGAAACACGGACCAAGGAGUCUAACAUGCCUGCGAGUGUUCGGGUGGAAAACCCGUGCGCGCAAUGAAAGUGAAAGUUGGGACCUCUGUCGUUGAGGGCACCGACGCCCGGACCAGACCUUCUGUGACGGCUCUGCGGUAAAGCAUGUAUGUUAGGACCCGAAAGAUGGUGAACUAUGCCUGAAUAGGGUGAAGCCAGAGGAAACUCUGGUGGAGGCUCGUAGCGAUUCUGACGUGCAAAUCGAUCGUCAAAUUUGGGUAUAGGGGCGAAAGACUAAUCGAACCAUCUAGUAGCUGGUUCC